rnacentral:rRNA from 1 species
ACGCAACGCGAAGAACCUUACCAAGGUUUGACAUCACCCGUGGACUCGCAGAGAUGUGAGGUCAUUUAGUUGGCGGGUGACAGGUGGUGCAUGGCUGUCGUCAGCUCGUGUCGUGAGAUGUUGGGUUAAGUCCCGCAACGAGCGCAACCCUUGUUCCAUGUUGCUAGCACGUAAUGGUGGGGACUCAUGGGAGACUGCCGGGGUCAACUCGGAGGA